rnacentral:rRNA from 1 species
CAUGCAGUCGAACGAUGAACCACUUCGGUGGGGAUUAGUGGCGAACGGGUGAGUAACACGUGGGCAAUCUGCCCUGCACUCUGGGACAAGCCCUGGAAACGGGGUCUAAUACCGGAUACUGACCCUCACAGGCAUCUGUGAGGUUCGAAAGCUCCGGCGGUGCAGGAUGAGCCCGCGGCCUAUCAGCUUGUUGGUGAGGUAAUGGCUCACCAAGGCGACGACGGGUAGCCGGCCUGAGAGGGCGACCGGCCACACUGGGACUGAGACACGGCCCAGACUCCUACGGGAGGCAGCAGUGGGGAAUAUUGCACAAUGGGCGAAAGCCUGAUGCAGCGACGCCGCGUGAGGGAUGACGGCCUUCGGGUUGUAAACCUCUUUCAGCAGGGAAGAAGCGAAAGUGACGGUACCUGCAGAAGAAGCGCCGGCUAACUACGUGCCAGCAGCCGCGGUAAUACGUAGGGCGCGAGCGUUGUCCGGAAUUAUUGGGCGUAAAGAGCUCGUAGGCGGCUUGUCACGUCGGUUGUGAAAGCCCGGGGCUUAACCCCGGGUCUGCAGUCGAUACGGGCAGGCUAGAGUUCGGUAGGGGAGAUCGGAAUUCCUGGUGUAGCGGUGAAAUGCGCAGAUAUCAGGAGGAACACCGGUGGCGAAGGCGGAUCUCUGGGCCGAUACUGACGCUGAGGAGCGAAAGCGUGGGGAGCGAACAGGAUUAGAUACCCUGGUA